rnacentral:tRNA from 1 species
UAAGACUUACAAGAGAUUAACCUGUAUCUUCUGAAUGCAACUCAAACACUUUUAUUAAGCUAAAGCCUAU